CCUACGGGAGGCAGCAGUGGGGAAUAUUGCACAAUGGGGGAAACCCUGAUGCAGCGACGCCGCGUGAGUGAAGAAGUAAUUCGUUAUGUAAAGCUCUAUCAGCAGGGAAGAAAAUGACGGUACCUGAUUAAGAAGCCCCGGCUAACUACGUGCCAGCAGCCGCGGUAAUACGUAGGGGGCAAGCGUUAUCCGGAUUUACUGGGUGUAAAGGGUGCGUAGACGGCAGUGCAAGUCUGGAGUGAAAGGCGGGGGCUCAACCCCCGGACUGCUCUGGAAACUGUACGGCUGGAGUGCAGGAAAGGUAAGUGGAAUUACUAGUGUAGCGGUGAAAUGCGUAGAUAUUAGGAGGAACACCAGUGGCGAAGGCGGCUUACUGGACUGUAACUGACGUUGAGGCUCGAAAGCGUGGGGAGCAAACAGGAUUAGAUACCCUAGUAGUC
rnacentral:rRNA from 1 species